rnacentral:misc_RNA from 1 species
GAUGAAGAACGUAGCGAAAUGCGAUAAGUAAUGUGAAUUGCAGAAUUCAGUGAUCAUCGAAUCUUUGAACGCACCUUGCGCUCCUUGGUAUUCCGAGGAGCAUGCCUGUUUGAGUGUCAUUAAUAUAUCAACCUUCUCUUUUUUGAGUUGUUUGGAUGUGGGGGUUUGCUGGCCUCUUAAAUGAUUCAGCUCCCCUGAAAUGCAUUAGCAGAACAACCUGUUCAUUGGCGUGAUAAUUAUCUAUGCUAUUGAAUGUGAGGGCAGUUCAGCUUUCUAACCGUCCUUGGACAAUUCAUCAUUAAUGUGACCUCAAAUCAGGUAGGACUACCCGCUGAACUUAAGCAUAUCAAUAAGCGGAGGA